rnacentral:rRNA from 1 species
UACAGAGGGUGCAAGCGUUAAUCGGAAUUACUGGGCGUAAAGCGCGCGUAGGUGGUUCGGUAAGUUGGAUGUGAAAUCCCCGGGCUCAACCUGGGAACUGCAUCCAAAACUGGCGAGCUAGAGUAUGGUAGAGGGUGGUGGAAUUUCCUGUGUAGCGGUGAAAUGCGUAGAUAUAGGAAGGAACACCAGUGGCGAAGGCGACCACCUGGACUGAUACUGACACUGAGGUGCGAAAGCGUGGGGAGCAAACAGG